UGCCAGCAGCCGCCGGUAAUACAGAGAGUGCAAGCGUUAAUCGGAUUUACUGGGCGUAAAGCGCGCGUAGGCGGAUUUUUAAGUCGGAUGUGAAAGCCCUGGGCUCAACCUGGGAACUGCAUUCGAUACUGGGAGUCUAGAGUAUGGUAGAGGGAAGUGGAAUUUCCGGAGUAGCGGUGAAAUGCGUAGAUAUCGGAAAGAACAUCAGUGGCGAAGGCGACUUCCUGGACCAAUACUGACGCUGAGGCGCGAAAGCGUGGGUAGCAAGCAGGAUUAGAUA
rnacentral:rRNA from 1 species